rnacentral:rRNA from 1 species
CCUACGGGAGGCAGCAGUGGGGAAUUUUGGACAAUGGACGCAAGUCUGAUCCAGCCAUGCCGCGUGCGGGAAGAAGGCCUUCGGGUUGUAAACCGCUUUUGUCAGGGAAGAAAAGGUUCUGGUUAAUACCUGGGACUCAUGACGGUACCUGAAGAAUAAGCACCGGCUAACUACGUGCCAGCAGCCGCGGUAAUACGUAGGGUGCAAGCGUUAAUCGGAAUUACUGGGCGUAAAGCGUGCGCAGGCGGUUAUGCAAGACAGAGGUGAAAUCCCCGGGCUCAACCUGGGAACUGCCUUUGUGACUGCAUAGCUAGAGUACGGUAGAGGGGGAUGGAAUUCCGCGUGUAGCAGUGAAAUGCGUAGAUAUGCGGAGGGACACCGAUGGCGAAGGCAAUCCCCUGGACCUGUACUGACGCUCAUGCACGAAAGCGUGGGGAGCAAACAGGAUUAGAUACCCUGGUAGUCCACGCCCUAAACGAUGUCAACUGGUUGUUGGGAGGGUUUCUUCUCAGUAACGUAGCUAACGCGUGAAGUUGACCGCCUGGGGAGUACGGCCGCAAGGUUGAAACUCGAAAGGAAUUGACGGCUGAGAGNGCGAGACGACGACGAGGGAGGAGG